UGAAUAGCUAGGUACCUACCGAUGAUAUAAUGACGUAUAAAUCUUAAAGUAUUCCCUUCUCGGAUAUUACCCAUCAAUAUCUUAUACUAUAUGUAUAAUAUCACAUUUUCUGUUUACCAAUUUUAUGUUCAACUUAUAUAUACGUAAGUAUAUAUUAUAUUAUAAUAUUAUUAUAUGCAAGCUUUACGAGUAUACUAUAUAAAUCGUGUCGUUCUG